rnacentral:rRNA from 1 species
GAUGAACGCUGGCGGCGUGCCUAAUACAUGCAAGUCGAGCGAACAGACGAGGAGCUUGCUCCUUUGACGUUAGCGGCGGACGGGUGAGUAACACGUAGGUAACCUACCUAUAAGACUGGGAUAACUUCGGGAAACCGGAGCUAAUACCGGAUAAUAUUUCGAACCGCAUGGUUCGAUAGUGAAAGAUGGCUUUGCUAUCACUUAUAGAUGGACCCGCGCCGCAUUAGCUAGUUGGUAAGGUAACGGCUUACCAAGGCAACGAUACGUAGCCGACCUGAGAGGGUGAUCGGCCACACUGGAACUGAGACACGGUCCAGACUCCUACGGGAGGCAGCAGUAGGGAAUCUUCCGCAAUGGGCGAAAGCCUGACGGAGCAACGCCGCGUGAGUGAUGAAGGUCUUCGGAUCGUAAAACUCUGUUAUUAGGGAAGAACAAACGUGUAAGUAACUGUGCACGUCUUGACGGUACCUAAUCAGAAAGCCACGGCUAACUACGUG